GGUGAACCCGCGACCAAUGUUUCUUCCACUUCUGUUCGUGUCUUGUCCAAUUUUUUCGAAACGGUCACCGCUGGAUAAAAGAUAUUUGUUAUUUUACACGUUAAUUAUUAAGAUUUGUUAUUUUACGCGUUAGGAAAGAGAACGCGUGAUUUACAAAAGCUGGAGAUUAUUUCGGUGAUUAAGUUUUUCAUUCACCUAAGGAUUACGUAAUCUAUAAAUGAAAUUUGAAUUUAGUUUAAGAAGACACGGAAUUAAUUAAGCACCUUUGAAUGCUUCUUUGAGAAUGAUCAAAUUAUAAUUAUGGUACAGCUGUUCAAAUUUCUUGGCGUUAAAAAUAAUAGCAAAAGAUGUGGAUCAUUAAAAUAGAAAAAUUACGAGCUUCAUGGUAUGUAAGUAUUCGAUAAAAUGUUUCUACGUACGUGUCACUGUUAAUGUGCACUGACUAGACGCUUCACCGCCAGAAUUAAUGGCGACUACUUUGUACACAC